rnacentral:rRNA from 1 species
UGGGGAAUUUUGGACAAUGGGCGCAAGCCUGAUCCAGCCAUGCCGCGUGCGGGAAGAAGGCCUUCGGGUUGUAAACCGCUUUUGUCAGGGAAGAAAUCUUCUGAGUUAAUACCUCGGGAGGAUGACGGUACCUGAAGAAUAAGCACCGGCUAACUACGUGCCAGCAGCCGCGGUAAUACGUAGGGUGCAAGCGUUAAUCGGAAUUACUGGGCGUAAAGCGUGCGCAGGCGGUUUUGUAAGACAGAGGUGAAAUCCCCGGGCUCAACCUGGGAACUGCCUUUGUGACUGCAAGGCUUGAGUGCGGCAGAGGGGAUGGAAUUCCGCGUGUAGCAGUGAAAUGCGUAGAUAUGCGGAGGAACACCGAUGGCGAAGGCAAUCCCCUGGGCCUGCACUGACGCUCAUGCACGAAAGCGUGGGGAGCAAACAGGAUUAGAUACCCUGGUAGUCCACGCCCUAAACGAUGUCAACUGGUUGUUGGGAAGGUUCCUUCUCAGUAACGUAGCUAACGCGUGAAGUUGACCGCCUGGGGAGUACGGCCGCAAGGUUGAAACUCGAAGGAAUUGACGGGGUCAUAGCUG